ACUUUGCUAGAAACCACGCAGACAUCCAGGUACAGAAGAACAAAGGAAAGGCUUUUUGCCAGCAAAGGGACCCGCAAGACCCCUUCUCACCAGGGAGAAGUGACAAGAAGUGCCGUCUAUUGUCUGGG